GUAAUGGUAAUUUUCCAGCAAAUAAAUAAUUUCCAGUAUACCAUUUUCUCAAGAGGUAAACCUGCGUUCCUAAAAGGGCAAGGGGGCUGCAGCUCGCAGGGCCAGGAACAGCAACGAACGGAAGCACAGACGCCGCAGCGCGGAGGUGACACGGGGCCCGGCUGCCUGGCCCCCACCUGCCUGCGCAGCCGCCUGCUCCGGUCCCGGAGGCCCAGCCCCGCGCCGGCCUCGGGCCGCGGGCUCCCACCGCGGGUCCGCAGGGCUCGCCCCGUACGUUCCCGCACCUGCCUCAGUGCGCCCGAGGUCCCGGAGCUGCCGGCGGCGCGACGCUUGCUCGGCUACGGACCCAGCGAGCUGCAGGCGAGGGGCGCGCGGGGGGCGGGGCGUAGGGGGUGCAGGGGAGGGGGGCGGGGCGCGCAGGGCGGAGGGGCGGGGCGCGAGGAGGGGACGUACACGGGGCGCUGGGCGGGGUUACCUGUGGCUGGAGACGCUGGGGGCGCUGGGCAGGGGGCGAACGGCGUGGCGCGCGGCGCUGGGCCGCCUCUGGGCCCUUGCCCGGGCUCCCGCGGAGGUUGGCUGUGCGGCCGCACACCUGCGUCACCGACUCUCCGGCUGCUGCGCGCGGGCACCGGGCCGCUUUCAUCCUCUUCUGCUGAGCGCCUUAAAGAAACGGGUGCGGAGCAAGGAUGCAGUGUGCCCUCCCUGGACCCCUCCGAUUCUUCCCAUCCGGUUAAGGAAAGACUCAUGACAGGGCCCCGGGGACAAGCCCUUUCCAUGGUUCCCAGACUUCUGGAUUCCAGACGCCAACGAUAGCUCCAAAAAAAAUUUUUUUUUUGGUGACCUACAUAGAUUUGUCAAGCAUUUAUGUGGCCAAGUGAGAGGGAAAAGCAAAACAAAACCUGCCAUCUCCCAUCAGAAUCAUUUUAUUACAGAAACCUUUUCUCACCCAAAUGCAGAAAGGACAUUACCUCAGCUAAGGACAAUGUUUUGCAUGGAAUAUACUUAGCUGGGUGGACAUCUCCUGGGCUUGGCCGUAUUACUGUCGUGUGGGUGUGACCAUCUCUGUGGGCAAACCAGUUCCCAGCUGGGAAUUUCGGCCCCAAGAUCCAGCUGUACGUGGCCAGUCCUGCCCCCGUCACACCCGCUUGGGGCUGGGCAACCUGUGCCCACAUGGCCCAGCUCAUCGCCCACUGCCUGUCACCCACGCCCAGCUCUGCUCCCCCUGUGGCCUCCCCCGGCCAGCGUGGCUGCCUGGUCUCCUUGCCUGAGUGGGCAGAAGCAUCAGCCUCAUUCUCCUUAAAGCAUCUGUGCCCCUUGAUUAAUGUGCCUUUCAAAUGAUUACUAAGUCAGCAUUAUUUUAGCCUCCACAGUUGUCACUGGGCCAGUCCUGAGCCCAAAGACAUCACUUGAGCCCUUCCCUUCUCCAGGGAGCAGAAAAAAGAAGGUCCUGCCUUUCCUGGGAGGAAACUUAGUAGGAUUGUGCUGUUUCUACCAUCUUUCCCAAAGAAAAUGUGAAAUAAAGACUUCCCCCCUAUAUAGAAGCACCUCCUAGUCUCAGACCACAAGCGUUUUCCGUGUGUUAAUCCUCUCAUGCAGCGGUGGAGGCUUUUAGACACCCAGAUAUUCAAGCUUUCUGAAGAGCUACCCAAUGCAUUCGAUGACUAAAUGGAAGUUAUAUUAGUUUUCUAUAGACUGGGAAAGAUUUUUUUGUUUUAAUUUGAGUCCAAUAUCCUUUACCUUCCUUUAAAGGCUUUCAAUUUGUAUGUGAAUGUUUUAUAGGACCUCUGAUGAUUAGAAUAUUGAUAACCAUAAUUGGGCAAACACUUAAGACAUAUUCAUUCGUUCAACAAAUGUUCUUAAAGCACCUACGACGUGCCAACCACAGCACUGGCUUUGGAGAUACAAUAAUGAAAACCCAUUCUUUUCCUCAAGGGCUUAGGAAUUUUAGUCCGGGGAACAGACAUGUCAACAUAAAGAGAAGUGCUCAGGGCUUUCCUGGUUCCCUGGGCAGGUCCAGAGCAGCGUAAGGGAGCGGGCAUCACCAGUUCCACCUGAGUGAUGGGGAGCAGCUUCCCAGGGGCAGCAGACACUGGG
rnacentral:lncRNA from 1 species